GACGAACGCUGGCGGCGUGCUUAACACAUGCAAGUCGAACGGAAAGGCCCUGCUUUUGUGGGGUGCUCGAGUGGCGAACGGGUGAGUAACACGUGAGUAACCUGCCCUUGACUUUGGGAUAACUUCAGGAAACUGGGGCUAAUACCGGAUAGGAGCUCCUGCUGCAUGGUGGGGGUUGGAAAGUUUCGGCGGUUGGGGAUGGACUGGCGGCUUAUCAGCUUGUUGGUGGGGUAGUGGCUUACCAAGGCUUUGACGGGUAGCCGGCCUGAGAGGGUGACCGGCGACAUUGGGACUGAGAUACGGCCCAGACGCCUACGGGAGGCAGCAGGGGGGAAUAUUGCGCAAUGGGCGGAAGCCUGAUGCAGCAACGCCGCGUGCGGGAUGACGGCCUUCGGGUUGUAAACCGCUUUCGCCUGUGACGAAGCGUGAGUGACGGUAAUGGGUAAAGAAGCACCGGCUAACUACGUG
rnacentral:rRNA from 1 species